rnacentral:misc_RNA from 1 species
GGUCAUGCCUUCUAUCGGUUACCUCUGAAAUUCAGUUCAAAUUCAGCCAGUUCAUCUGAAUCUAUGUCAUUUUCCACUAUCUUCGUGUUUGUCAUGGUUCCUGAGAUGCAAAAUCUUAGUGGCCACGGCAUAGCGUUCACUAUCUCACCAUCCUUGGACUUCAGCCUUGCUGUAGCAAGUCAGUAUUUGGGACUCCUCAACACUUCAAACG